AGGAUCUGUUACAAGAGUGACACUAACAGUGAGACUGAGAGAAGCUGGUAACUAUCAGUGUACUGUAUCUAACACCAGGGUCACUGAUGGUAAUAAUGGUGAUAUUGGAGGUGUUCAGGCAACUAGUACUAACACAUUAUUGAGUAUAUCAGUAUCUGAUACCCCAACUGGUUUAACUGCUACAAGAUUAAGUACUGGUUUAGCUCAUGUAAGACUCUCCUGGCCUACUGUAUCAGGAGCUACUGGUUAUGAGGUCUACUAUCAACUGUCUAGUAAUACUCCUGUUAGUGUAGGCACUACUGCUUCAACAACAAUCAAUAUAACAUCAGGAUUGUUUCGAGGGAUUACAUACACUUUCUAUGUAGUAUCUUAUGGAUCAGCUUCUCUGCCUAGUGGUAAUGCUUCAGUAAUCUUAAAAUUUAGUAAGAUAUCACAUAACUAUUAAAUUAACAUCUGAUAUGUACCUGGUAUAUUAUUUCAGGUGAUCCUGUUGUUAGUGAUUUGAUGGCUACAGUUAUUACAACUUCAGCCAUUAUAUUAACAUGGAGUCCACCAACUGCUGUAGUACCAAUUAGUUAUGAAAUUAAAAGGAGAUGUAGAAGAGUAUGUGAAUCAUCAGUCACUAGUAAUAGUGAAACAUCAGUUUUAUCACCACAUACUUCAACUGGUAUACCUCCUUACAGUCAAUGUGCCUUUGAUCUUAUUGGAGUGUAUGGAUCUCUGAAAGUUUUUUUGACUACAAAUUAUUUAGCUAAUACACCUUCAACUGCUCCUACUGCACCAGUGGG